GAGUGUGCAGCUUGGUGGCCUUAGUUUUGCAAAAGCUAGUGAGAAACUAUAUUAGUUUCCACACUCU
rnacentral:tRNA from 3 species